UAACUCCGGUUCCCUUUCAAAUCGUAUAAAUCUUUCGCCUUUUACUAAAGAUUUCCGUGGAGGGGAUCAUUCAAGGGAGUAUAGAUUUUAAUUUUUACAUACGCCUGACCAAGGUCGGGCA